rnacentral:rRNA from 1 species
UACGAACGCUGGCGGCGCGCCUAACACAUGCAAGUCGAACGGAGUUAUUUCAGCAGAAGCUUUCGGGUGGACGCAGGGAUAACUUAGUGGCGAACGGGUGAGUAACACGUGAGGAACCUGCCCUGGAGUGGGGGAUAACAGUUGGAAACGACUGCUAAUACCGCAUAAGCCCACAGCACCGCAUGGUGCAGCGGGAAAAGGAGCAAUUCGCUUCAGGAUGGCCUCGCGUCCAAUUAGGUAGUUGGUGAGGUAACGGCCCACCAAGGCGACGAUCGGUAGCCGGACUGAGAGGUUGAACGGCCACAUUGGGACUGAGACACGGCCCAG